ensembl:lncRNA
UCAAAAGCCGGUGUGACACGUCAAAGUGUAAACCUCUGCAUCAUGCUUAAAUUAAUAAACCAGGGCAUCUUAUGCAAGACACAUGAGCUAAGCCCACCCCACCACUAACUACCAGGAAGGCCUCCACUGCAUUUAUCUUCUGCUACUGCUUCAAAACUACCACAUCCCAAGAGAGCAAUGGGAAAAAGCACCAUGGGAUUUGUUUGCUUUGGAUCUAGUUCAACUCAAAACCACAGAGAUGGCUCCAUAACCAACCUCUGAUCAGAGAUGAUGAAGUCCAGGGCUAGUCAGACUUGGAGGGAGGUCUGAGAAAAACAUGGAUCUGCUCGAAAUAGAGAAAAAGUCAGAGCUGAAAAGCAUGGAAUUCAGUAAUUCUAGCACACACAAUAUUUUGGACACAUUUCCUCAGAUGCUCACGGUUCAAUUCACUAACUACUGCCUCUGGUGCUAUGAGGAGGCCUUACCAAAAUCUUAAGGGAAAAGCACCUGGUGAUUCGGUCAGCUGGGACUCCAACCCACCUCAGUGCACUAAAGAUGGCAACAGAAAUUGAAGUGAGAAUGAGCAGACUUCUUACCCUGAUGCCUUGUGCUUUCCGAGCUAUUCACCAACUCCGCUGACCUGCUGCGAAGACCAAAAGCUGUAGAAGGAUGACUGACA